rnacentral:rRNA from 1 species
UACGGAGGAUGCAAGCGUUAUCCGGAAUUAUUGGGCGUAAAGCGUCCGUAGAUGGUUUUGCCAGUCGGCUGUCAAAGCACAGGGCUUAACCCUGUAAAGGCAGUGGAAACUACAAGACUAGAGUGCAGUAGGGGCAGAGGGAAUUCCCAGUGUAGCGGUGAAAUGCGCAGAUAUCAGGAGGAACACCGGUGGCGAAGGCGGUUCUCUGGGAAUGUCCUGACGCUGAGGAGCGAAAGUGUGGGGAGCGAACAGG